CUGAAAGUGACCACUUUACUCCACGUAACAUUUUCUCUCUUUCAGACCUCAUGAGAGAGGCAAACAUCCAGUUAUUACUGAAAUCUCAUGACCUGGUUCAGAUUUUUCUUACAGACAGAAUCAAAACUGACUAUAUCUGCCUCCAAAUCAACGCCAUCUGCACAUGAAACGGCUCUACUCAUGAACGACUCGACUGAAAGGUUAAGUCAAGGUGUUCACAUCCACCACUGGCGUGAGUAAAGCACAAACACACAUAUACAUUGCAAACGCACACAGAAACACCUGUCCAGUCGUCACCGUUUUUACACCUCCAGCUGCACAGAGUCUCAGUUUCGACUUCAAGGCUCCCUUUAGCGUCAAUGAUUGUCAGAAUAUCGAGUGAGUAAUGUGCUGUAGACGCGGCGGGGCGCUGAGGUCAACUCCUCAAACGCGGCGCUUGACAGGGUUUCAUCCUCUGUCGUGUAAAUUUGACACCUGUUUAAUGUGACGUUCAAAACUCACAGAUCCUACAUAAUCUCAGGGCAGUGAAAGCAGCAUCAGAUCCCAACAGUAACCAGCUCCAGUGUGGGGCUUGAAAAGAGGCUUUUGAAGGGAAAAAAAAAAGGUUUCAAUGUUUUGCUUGGUAAGCAAUGACACUGCACUUCUAAAUGUUUGGAAACCAUGUGAAAAUGACGCUCACCCCCUGUCAGGUCAAAGGCUGGUUGAGAGAAAUUAGAGACUAACUCUCCACAGAAAACUGUGUCUGUGGUCGGUUUGUUUUCAUGGCUGAAAGAUACACAUCCAGGGUUUCCCCAAAAAGACAGCUUUGCCUUAAAUAAAGAGUGACUCCGCUGAGUUACUGUAAAAAGAGAUAACAGCAGAGACAGCAUGGCUACUACAAAACUCAACCGUGGAGAGCCGGUCUUUUUCUUGUCCUGAAGUGAGAAUAUAAUUAUAAAUGUGGAGUAUUGCCAAGAGUUGUCAGUUUUAGCUCACACCAACAGCUGGACUCUCUACUGAGGAGGAGUGGGCAACAAGCACAGAGUGCCAGACCCUGAACAAACAAACAGAACUGCUGAUAUGAUGUGAGUUUUGGAUGAUUACUUGCAGGUAAAAGACUCUGUUGUUGUUGUUGACUGUUAACUAUGUUAGUUUUGAACACUUUGGUGAACGCCAUAAGUCCUAAACAUGGGUUAGUAAGAGAACUUUUCCCCAGAGGUUAAUGCUGUAGCAUGGAGCGUUUUAUUCUAACCAAGCUAACAUUUCUUUGGAUGCAGAUGAGGCAGUCCUCUACAUGAAAAAAAGGACAGCUGUGACCAAAAUUUGCUUACCUCGACUUUUUAAAAAUUAUCAUUUUCACUUAAAGGCAUGGUUGACGAUUGGCGAGAUUGGUAAUUAUUAUGAACCUCGUUUCUAUGGCGAUCAUGGGGAGAGAAAAGUGAAUGGAAAAAAAUCCGUUCACCCUAGCAGGUUUAGGGCUGCAAAAACAUUGGCCAAUGAGAGCCAUCCAUCCCAAACAGCUCCUAUUGGUCAAUCUCCUGCUCAGCUUCUCAAUCCAAUCACCUCGCUGUAUUCGACACACCCCUCUCUCGUAGUUCCAACUCAUCCCCUCUCACUCUCCCGGCCCUUCUCAGAGCUCUGAGCGGCUAAAAGUAGCGUAGAAGCUUAGCUACAGGAGCUGUGAUGGAGAAAGACGCAAAAAAACAAUUCUGCUUGCCCCACCGCCAAAAGUACUAUAGAUAGAAAGAUUUAUGAUUUGGUGGGUUGCUGAAUGGAUGGUUACAUGGAUAAAUAGACAGAACAUACUGUACAUGGUCGGAUGGACGGAAGGAGUCUGCCAGUCAAGUUUACUGACAUUAUUCCACAGUGUCAUUGUCCAAAAUCAGGCCAGUGCAGCUUCUUCGAGCUUGGAUUUAUCAAACACACUCAGAACAGAUUUUUAAAGUUUGAAUGUGACUCUGUUUUUAUUUUGUCACUUUUGUCUAUUUCAGUCUAUCCCCUCAUCCCAAAGGAGAGACACUCAAACUUUCCAAAAUUUUUAAACAAUCCCAAAAAAGGCAAGUAAGUAAACGUUAAUAUAUCUCAGAAGAAUUUCUCAUAAUCCACUGAUAGUAUUUUAUUACAUGUACUCUUGAAUAAAAUUAUGUUCUUAUAUAAACUGAACUCUGCAGACCAUGAGUCACCACACUGGCCAUAUUUUCUUCAAUUCUCUGUUUCCUCACUUUUAUUACUUCACAUUCAAAGUUGAACUGGACAAAGUUAAACUGCCUUUUGUUAACAUGGUCGGGGAUGUGAACAUCUUGUUUGAAUUAACUUUAUUGGAAUGUCACAGAGUAAAACAGACCGCAGAAUUCUUCGCUUGUACGUCAUGGAAGGUCAAUUGAUCCGAGCGUUAGAGCUGCACAUUCUGUUUGUGCUGAAAGGAUGAUUCAAGUCCAAAUGUGGGUUAACAACUGUUACCGACACUGGCUGCAUGCUCGGGGUGUUGUAAACAACAUUUCACAGAAAUAUGAAAACUAUGCAACCUACAGUGGAGCUUGUUAAUGGCUGCAGCAUGACUAUUAAGACCAAAGUUAGAGUGUUUGUUUUGAUAGUAUGCAGUACAAAUAAUAUAAACUACAAUUGCCAAUAUUAAUCCAGCACUCCAUACAAAAUCCUGCAGUCUCUUCUUGCACACAGAUAAAGGUCAAGCUGUUGUUCACCUUUUGUGCAGAUCAUAUUCUCCCUGCUGUAAGUGUAUUGUAAUUAUAGAAUCGUCUUGCCAGAAAUGGAAAAACCAGAUGAAGUUUCAUUGAUAAUGAAAGAUUCAUCAGGGAUUUGUGGCUGUUUGAGUUCAUCCUGGUUGGUUUGUUGGCUUAUUUACAGGAGCUCGAGGAUGAAUUUAUUCCUUUUAUCUCUGUGAAUGCCAAGAGUCGUGGGGUUCCACGGGACGGCUCAAGCGCUGCAGUAUUUAUUUAUGUUUUCUGGAAGAGUCUGUAAGCCGUGAGACGAUCCAUCAUCUGAGUUUUAUCUGCAGAUGGAAGAGUUUGAGGUAAACUUUUCUUAAGAGUCUCAUCCCUCUUGUUUUGCCUGAUACAUGAUGAGAAAGUGGGGCUUGAAUUUGGAAGGUAGACAAAUUCCUAAUAAUGUGGUUUGGAGCAAUUGACGUCGAAUCAAAGCAAAAACAAUCAAGAGUCAUUAGUGGGAGAUAGUCAGAGCCCUCCAACCAGACUCCAACCAAUUCAACUGGGUAUUCUCUGAACCUCUAAGCUAAGAAACCAAACUGGCACUUCACAGGCAGCGCUCAUUUAAAAUGGAAUACUUUCAUGUUGAUCAGAUGGUCACAGCAUGUGCACAUAAAACCCUGUUGUGUUCAUCAGCGAACAGCCAUUGUUACAGAACCCGAGUUCAGAACAUAUCCUUGAGUCUGACCCGAGUUUCAGGACUCAAGAAGACUCAAGCAUUGACCACAUUAGGACUCAGAAUAUGGGUUGACCUUGCAAGAGGUAAAGCAGUGAAGUGAAGGCUCUGUACAAGGGAAAAGAAGUGAGCUAUUCAGACUAGAACUGUUUUGUAUCAGGCUGUAAACAUGUUUGGUUUUGCUGUAAAGAUAAGCUUUUUAGAAUGGGUGUGUAUGUGGUUUCUGGUGCUUGUGGAGCAGCCCCAAGUGGACACUUAAGGAACUGCAGCUUUUAGCACUUGCACUUGCUUCAUUUUUCAAUACCAGAAAUUGCAACAUGGCCGUCCAUCUUUGUGAACAAGGAUCUGGAUGAACUUUACUCUCACUUCUAAGAACUUAAACUUGACUGGUGCCCUAUUGGAUUAUUUGUUAGCUCUCCGAGACUAGAGCUGUUACAGUUUAGCUAAUUUCAAGCAGAGCAAUUUCUCGUUUGUCUCUAGUCUGGUGCAUUUUCACUGCAUAUGUACAAGUCUUCUCGUAAAACAGGAUAUAGGAUUUCAAGGAGAUUUUACUGCUGAUAGCUUUGCAAAGUAAGGGUUGGCCAGAUUAGGAGGAUUCAUGGUAAAUUCGACCAGACUUUAAAUGUGAUCGCGCUACAUAAAAAUUUUCUUCACUUUUGGUCUGAGAAUAACAUAAAAUAACUACAGAGUAGGCUGUUAAUCUCUGGUUUUAAUGAUUGAUAUUUGCAGAGUUUAGUUUAUAAGCAGGGUAAACUACACGACAAAAGCAACGCCAGAUACUUGAAUCACUGAGCAAAACUGGAGACAAGUAUGUUGACCUCAUUCAGAAGUAUGGUUGAGCCCCUAAUUGUGUAUUACCUAAUGUUUGAUAUGGACUGCUUGCAACAAAUGCUCUCAUUAAAGUAAUUUCCUACAGAGUCAAAAUGAGAUCAAGAUUAAAUAUAGGGGAAAGAGGAUCAAACGGACAUGGUCCAAAAGAUGCAGUGAUGUAAUGAUGGAUGCAAGAAAAUAUUUUCCUUUCCCUGCUGUGAUCCGCUUUGAUACGAGCAGUUGAAAUUAAGAUUAAUUAGACAAGAUAUUUUAUACAAACGACAAGAAAAACAUACAAACAUAUUCAGCGCAUGGACUUCGGGAGCCCAAAAUACCCCAAAAUUAAUGACGGCAUUAAUCAGGGACCAGAUGUACUACUGAAGAUUAUCAUUAUUUCAGAAAUAAGGUAAUUAGUUUUUCCCUUGAGGAUAUCUGAUCUAAUUUUGUCUUAACUGUUUAUUAUAUCAUCAAAAGCAGCUGCAAGGCCAACACAAGUCUUUUUAUAACUAUUUCAUCCCUGCUUUUCUCUUUCUUCUCUCCAGGAGGAGUAAUCCAGCAGGAGCCCUGAUUAAAAACGGAUGCCUCCUGACUUCUCUCCUCAUUUCUCCAAGUUGAGGUCAGCAGAAAAACGAAGAGACGUAACACGAAAGGUUUCGGACUUGAUUAGCGUUUUCUGUCGGGCUGGAGCUGAUUCCUGCGUCGGCUAAUUGAUCCUACCGCUGUUUUGUUGUCAAAGCCAAGGGGGUUGUGUUCGUUGCCACGCUAAAAGAAAUCGCUGCAACUUUAACAAUGCCACGUGUGCUGAGUUCGACUCCAGAUUGAGAUUGGGCCAUGGGAAAAUAUUGUUCCCCAGAGCCGCUUUAGCUCAGCAGCUCUAUGUGUCAUGGUGGUUUUAGGGGAAGGAAUGUAUGAUGUGUAUUACAUGCAAAUAUUCCUCUGCAGUGAGGGACAAGACUGUUAACCUCAAAAGACUCUUCUCUCUAACCAUCUCGUCCAGGCCUAAUGGGUUUUCAACCUCUAUUGUAAGCAGUCGUUUGUGAUGCCACUAUGUCUUAAUCAGCCUUCUGAAGACUCUGCAAUAAGUGAUGUGGAACUGAACCGGUUCAUUUCCUAUCUGUCAAACAGGUCCUUUUCUGUAGUCCCUGGAACUACCUCCUCCUCUUUAAUGUGGGGUCCCCCAGGGGCCUAUCCUGGGUCCCCUCUUAUUCACUGUGUACAUGCUUCCAUUGGGGGAGAUCUUGCAUGGGCGUGGUAUUGACUUUAAUUGUUAUGCAGAUGACACCCUGCUGUUUACCCCUGGCACCACUGAUGUGUCAGGCACAAUGAUUUAUUAUGUAAUCAUUUUCUCUAUACACUAUAUUUAUCUUAAACUCACGUUUGGGAUUUAAUACGACUGUUUCAGUCUGUGGAUUAAAACCCAAAAUGCAUUAUGUGCUGAAACAGACUGUCCGUGUGUCCCCAAAGGGCUUCUGUAGACUGCUGUGAAAUUGACAGCUGUUGCUGUAAUCUGUCUGGUGGUGCUCAUGAGUGUUAGUAUUUUAUGUUUUUGCCAGUGUGCAUUUCUGGAGUAUUUUCUGGUAGUUAAAUAAAGUUACAGACUUCACUUUUAUUUAUAUAUGUUUGGCUUUUUGUGCAAUCUGGCGGUUUAUAGACAGCUUUUGGGCUGAAAACUGUCGUUUGUACACUGGCAGGACUUAUUAGUAACAUAAAACAUUUACAAAGAGAUUUCAAUGAGGAUGAGGAAAUAAAUUAAAGCUGACAGGUUGCAAAGGACUGUUUUUUCUUCACUCCUAUAUUUCAGCUUCUUUUACUACUUUGAGGCGGACAUCAAGUGACACAUAACUACACAAGGAUUACUUUCUUCCCUGUUUUUCUUAAUAAUAGGUUGAAUCUAUUUGUCCACGUGGAAAAAAUACAUUAAUCCACCAACAAAACAGCACAAUAAACUUCAGCUAAAUGAUAAAAAGAAAGGCUCUACUUCCAAGUUUCCCAUUAGCCACAGUUUGACCUCCUCUUUAAAGUCUGCUGCUCAGGAGUUCAUCCAGUCUCUAAGGUGGUCUUUGAGAUACUCCGGGUCUCUGUUAUUGAUCGACCGUUUCACACUGACAACCCUGAACUAACGUGUCCUGACACAUCUGCGGGUUGUUUCGAGGUUUCGGGUCGCUGCUGGCUCUUGAUUUGUCAGAAACAUCAAAAAGUUGAAGCAAUGAGCUUUUGGCCGGUUGAUGCUAAUAAUAGUACGUAUUACCCUGGGACAUCUGAUUAUUAUUAAUAAUUGCAGAGGACGCCUGUGUUUUUAAUCAUGCAGAUUGACAUAUUUAAGGACACUCUGGGGUCUUUUGAUAAUAACUGUGUUGUUCUGGACAAAAUGAGGCAACCUUGAGUUUCUGAUAUGAACAGAUAAAACUAUAUCUGCAGGAGCAUGUCGUCACCUCAUGAAAUAAAUGCAAAAAUAAAAUAUGUCAUGAUGUGCCAAGUCCAAGUUCCAGUAAAUGUUGUUGUUCAGCUUGUAUCUAUUGAGUGUUUGAGGGAGUGUGAUCAGAAAAGAAAGGGCUGAGCUGACGGUGGCGGCGAUGGAUACGUGAAUGAGCGAGCUGCCAACUUGCUCAAUUCACUGUUUUUUAUUCAGUACUUAGCUUUUAACUUCACAGUCAACUCUUCAUUGUACCCGACCAACAAGUAACCCGAUCAGUAUAGCCCGUGCAUGACCCGCACUCACAUCCACACAUCACAGCCUAUCAGGAGUCAGGGUACAGGGCCUCAGUCUGCAACAACUCCUGCCAACAAAGAGAGCCGAUUCAUGCUGGCACCAUCAAAGAGAGGAGCGGCAGCAGGUGAGAGUAUUAACAUUCUUUGGUUAGAACAUGAGGAUGUGUUUAUUCUCCUCUGCAUGUCUAAUGACGGCAUCUGGAAACCAAAAACUCCUCUGGAGGAAACUCUUCCUUUUUCUGCUCAGUCUGUUCCCACAUGACAGGAUGGGAACAUUUGGCAGCACUUAAAAAAACAAAGAUGCACACCUGUUUCGCCGUUAUGUCACAACAGGUCAGAGACACUUGUGGGUUUAAAGAGACAACGGGCUAAUGUGAAUACGUUAUUAGUGGUUACAUAAAUAAUAAUUAUGGGAUAAGGGGAAAAAGGUCAGUAUCAACGGAAGUACAUCUGAAAGACGGGUAAGGAAUUAAAUCAUUUAAUUUUAACAAAUGGUGGGGAAAAGAUUUAAGGUUGGUCGGUAGAAAUAGGAACCGUCUGAUAACUUUUCAAGAAAUUCCCUCAAAGAAAGACGACUGUCCGACAGAAGUCUGGUUCUGCUCAAGGUUUCUGCCUGUUAAAGGAAGUUUUUCCUCAUCACUGCUACUUGCUUAUAAGAUGGGAUUCAGUUUCACAGCAUCGAUCUUCUCUGUCUCGAGGUUCGGUCUUCCUGUAUGGUCUAGACCAGGUUUUAUGUUACACCUCCUGGGAUAACAUUUGUUGUGAUACGGCACCGUAUACAUAAAGAUCGAUCAAUUGUUAUUUAGGGUUGAUUCAGCAGAAUAAGCUGACGUAAUGCUAAUAUGGACUCGACCUGGUCCAGACUUUGACUCUUCUUUUGUGACUCUGACUCGACUGCAGAAUCAGACUCAAACACAACGCUGGCUGAGAUGUUGUUUGUAAUAUCAAAGAGAUUAUAACAGGAAACAAAGGUGGCCUUAAAAUAUGCAAACACUUCACUCGUCAGAUAAAACUGUUGUCUUAAUUUUAUCAUUUGAAGAAGUAAACAGGUUACAAAAAUCAUUAUUUUUUCUGUUUUUUAAGGAAAUGCACCAUACAUUUGAUCAUAUAUUUGGUCUUAAAACCACCUUCCUGUAGCCAACUAUCGGUGUCCACAUGGAGAGCCUGAAUCCCAACAAUGGUAGACGCCAUGUUGGAAAGUUUUGACCCAACUUCACUUCCAAUCAACCUUCGAAAAGCGACACCUGUCAGUCAGAUCAUCCAUCUGUCCUUCUUCAUGUAUAAGAAUCCAUUCAACAAACAUCCCACCAUAUUAAAACCGUCUCUCUCCUCUUUCAUGUCGAGCUCUGUCACUUUGAAUCACUUCUAACUUUAAAAAAUUAAAUCCCCUCAUAACUUGGGGUUUUGCAGAUUAGAGGACAAACUUCAUUGUUUGCUGAUUAAACAAACAUCAUUAAUGAAAAGCAGCUCUGAUUUAUGCAGCUGCUGUGUUUGAAACAAUAUUAAUCCCACUCUUGGCCUCAGUGAGAGCAGCCUGUUGAAAUAUUAGUCUGCAGGAUGAACACUGGUGUUCAUAUAGUGUGGUUUAUGGAGUUAUUCAGAGGGAUUGACAGCAUGCCGAUGACUGUCUCCAGUGCUCAUCUGUUUGUCCACAACAUGAGUCAGGAAUGACUGUUUUUCUUCAGUGAAAUUAAGUCCCGGACUGCAAAAUAAAACCGUCAAAGUUCCUGCUUCUCACGAUAAACCCUCGUGAAAAUCAUUAAACAUGUUCUGCCGUUACUAACGGAAAUGAUCUGAUGUAUGUUAAGCCACGUAGCAUGGGAACGUUUGCUAUAUAUAUGGGUUUGCCUGUUUAUGGUUCCAUUAUGGGGGCUUUAUGAGUCAGACCUGACACACCCAGUCUUCAAUGUAUGGCUAAUUGUUCACCGAAAUAAGAGCAGUGAUGAUAGAAGUACAGACAUCAUUAACUUGAGUAGAAGCAACAACGCCACAAGAAAAGAGUGCUGCCCUCUGAGAUCAUGUCCUUAAUUCAUGGUUUAAUUAAAACUGCACAUUGUUUUUGACACUCGGGCGCAGCAGACAAAAGUUGCGAACACAACACUGACAAGUUGAUUCAGUAGAACUGUACAUAAAAAGUUGUUUAAUAUCACUUUAGGAGGCUAUGAAAACUUCAACAGAAACUUGGAGUGAUUUUUUAAGGCCAGCUGAAACCCCUUUGGAUCAGUCAAUAUCCAACAACUCAUACAGUUUAUGUCAGUCUCUCCAUGCAACAGAUAUCUGCACACGAGGGCAGAUAACAGUCCGUUUCAGGGCCCUGUCUGAGCGGUCUGAAAUGCACAGUCUAAAGAACACUGUGGAAUGUGAUUUACAGCAUGUCAGACCACUUUUUGGUACUUAAGCGGUGCACAGUCUUGGGGCCAAGUGAGGUGCUCAUAGGAGGCUGGAUUAAGUCUAUCGGUUAGUCAAAGGUGUGUUUUCAAGAGCCAGGUGAACCUACAAGCAGACUAUUUUCACAACAGUUUAGUCUGUCUGUACACAAGGAUUAACAACUUAUCCACUGGAACUUUCCCAAUUUACAGAUGUGUGUACAUUAGUGCACAAACAUGUUUAUCAGAAAGAGAGUGCACAUGGUGGAGAGCUUUGGCCGUAUUUUUUGGUGAAAUGAUAGCAGUGGUGGUGCCCUCAUCUUCUGGCAUCCCUAGAUCAGUCAUACAAAACUGUAUCAUCAUGUAUGGAAAGAAGGAAAAACUGCUCGGGUCUCCAAGCCCUCUGACCUGGUAAAAAGUAGACUCACUCAUACUGCAUGCACUCCAUCAACUCUUAUGCCCGUCUAACUGUCGCAGUCAUGCAUCAAAAUAUCCAGAAAGUUCUGAGCCACUGACUUUAAACUUCAAACCUGAUCCUAGUUGGUCUAAAGAAUGGACUUUUCUGCUCCUUAAACACAGCAACACACCGUCUAGAUCCUAAAGACUUAAUGUGAAGGCCAAGAUAUCGAUCAGCACCAACAUAAGCACAAGUUCAGUCACUUUUUACAGAACAAGAGGAUCAUAGAUGUCAAAUUGAAGUCCAUCCAGUCUUCUGACAUUAGAGGUAAUGCUCUCAAAGAGAAGUUUUUAGCCAAUCACUGAUGACACCAGAAGCUCAAGAAAGUUCCUAUCAGAAGCUAAAUGAUUGAGACAUCAGCCUUAUAGUAAAGCUGCUCAUUUACGCUGUACAUCAGAUAUCCAUGCAGUAAAUAAUGGAACUUUCCACCCAUUCUUUGUUCAUGUCCUUUGUAUCACUGCAAGCCUACACUUAUGGACCAAACAUCUUAGCAUCACUGGAAAUCCUGGGGGUGGGGUUGAGUAGAGUAUCCAAAAGUUCAAGCCAAACCAACGAAAUACAGGGGAAACUUUUCCAUCGAGUUGACAAAGUGAAGGACACGCAAGAGUGAGUGGGUGGUGACAGGUAUAUUGUUGAAAACAUUUAUAUCUGCUAUGAUUGGAAAAAGUAAUAAAAUAAUGUGAUUCAAAUGGAACAAGCAGAUACAGACUUGAAGUGGAGAUCAAAAUAAAGUUAAAAAAAGAGACUAAUUCUGGCUAUAAAUGUAACAGGUAAGAGGAUGACCCUCCGCCUGCUGGAUUUGAAUACGGACUCAAGUCUGCUUUAAUAUUCACCAUAAAAACGGAGGGUUUAUAAUUUAUCUGUAUUGUGUUUCUAGAUUGUUUUACUGUUCCCAAGUGGUCAAAAAACUUGGAAGUUGAGUAAAUGAACACAGUUUUUUUCUACCCUCUGAUGCCAAAUAGCUAUAAAUGUCUUCAGUGUCCGCAGCUCUCCUCCUCUAAAGCCGGGCCGUGAAAGAAUCACUUUGGAAACAUUCGUACAGAGCAGCUGAGGAGUAGCUGGACUCUGGACCCUUUAAUCAGGGAAGAAUGUUUUUCCAGGGGAAGAAACAGUUAAGACCAAUUUCAGGCCUGCGUGUUGCUACUGCUUAUUUGGCCAAAACAUCUGUGAUAGCAAGAAAUGUAGGCCACAGCAGCUGGGAAGCCUGCGGCCCUGAGGACGGGAGGUACAGUAUUCUGUGGACCCUCUAUCUCAGACCAGAGCUGUGACUGAUAUUAUUGACAAGCAUCAAUAAUGUCCCACUAGGUUUUCCCACGCAGGGAUUCAGGACGGUGCUGUCUACAACAUGUUGUACAGUGUCGGCUGACGUCUCAAGGAAGCAAUAAUAUUCUCAAUAUUUACAAUCAGUACAAUGAGAAUAAGUUUUACUAUCAUGUCAGAGCCAGCAUAAAUAGGACAUGGGUGUGUGUCUGAAGCUUUGGUCUGGGUGAUUGUACUCAGAUGUUUGGAAAAAAAAGGCCCUUGCCUGUUGUUCUCCGUAAAGAGAAACAUUUGGAUAUCCUCAGGUAGCACAUGGGAAAGGGUGUUACUGGAGUUCAUUUUUAUUGUUCAAGGUACCACUCGGAUUCAUCCAAGAAGCCUCACAACCUCAACCUUUAUCCCAAUAUGACCAAAACCAGAGGAGAAAUUCCUGGUAUUGCUUUUGAAAGAUGGGGAGCAAAGACACGUUUGAGGAGAGUUAUAAAUUGGGUUUGUUUGGAAAGAUUUCACCAUUUUUUUGUGAUAGUGGAUCUAGAAAUAAUAAUAAAAAUAAUAAUGAAAAAAAUCCAGUCCAGUUUAGCACCUGGACUCUUCUACUACAGAGCCGUACUGUUGCAAUAUGUUCAGCACAAAGUUUGGCAAUGUUUUGCUGGACUAUACAAGGUCUUCCAUGUUGAAGUCAUUGUCUGUCAUAGUUUCCGAAAUGUCAACUCUUGAUUCAUUAAACCACGAGACAGUUUCCCACUUCAACUCAGCCCACCUUUAAUUGGCCGAACCCUUGAUAAGAGCGCCGAAAAGCCUCACUCUGCCCAUGAACAACCUCACAGAGUGAGUGGGAUAUCAUGGAAGUUGUUUUGUCAUGCUCCUCCACCACUCAUAGAAACAGUGUGCCCACAGAGUAAUAGCUGGGAUCUGGGAACAUGGUGAAAUCCAACUAGGUAAGUAGACAUCAGCACUCGGAGGACAUAUUGUGAACAAAUCUUCAGAUUAUCGUAACCACUCCGUUUAGAGGUGAAACCAAAAUUGAGCGAAACAGAAAUGUUUGUAAUAUUACCGCAGAGAACAGUACAAGUCAGCACAAUGACCGCUCGUACUGCGGCGCAGGGUUGAUUCAGAGGUUUGUAAACUGUGAUGGAUAUUCACAACGAAAGAUGGAUUUGAUUUUUUUGUUCAGUCUAACAGUCACAUCUGAUUUUGUCCUGAAAGUGAGUUUGUUUUUGAACUCUGCGACCUGAUAUGGUUUUUCGUCUCCCCUGACACCCUUUUCCCCAUAUUUCCUGUUUCCAAUCCCUGAACCUGUUUGAAUAAAACCUACAGAAGUAAACUACAAAAACCAGACUCACAUCUUCUAAAAGGGUAAAAAGUUACACCUUUGUUUCAACACUUAAAAACUCACCAUUAUCCAUUUGAUCCCCACUUUCCACUGACCCAUCUGACUGUCAAAGAUCUGCCUCUUUCCACAUGUGUCUCUUCGACUCAGAUCCUUUUUUUGGCAGAGACUACACUGACUAAAUAAUACAACUAUUUAUUAGGUCAUUUUGUAAAAACUGAACAUCCGACGAUUUUAAUGCUUUAAUGUGGAUAUAAUUGAUCAGGAAUCUCGCUUCCCUGACACUGAUCCCCAUUUAGUGCUCGUAAAAUCCUCUCUCAGCAAACCAGAACAACUGUCCUUAUCUACAACAGGAUUACUGGUGUCUGCUAUACAUGCAGGUCUAAAAUUAUUCACUGAGAGUACAAAUACAACCACGAAUGCAAACGUUUAAACCCUAAAUUAGUUUAGUGCUUUGUACUCUAAUGCGGAGGGUUAGCAGCUGCCCAGCUAUUACACAUUAUACGGUAAUGAUGGCAUGAUAUAUUAAGUACUGCAGUACAGGAGUUGCAUUCAGAGCAUAAAUUGCAUCAGUCCAAAGCA